GAAUAUUGCACAAUGGGGGCAACCCUGAUGCAGCAAUGCCGCGUGAGCGAAGAAGGCCUUCGGGUUGUAAAGCUCUUUUCUGGGUGACGAGAAAGGACGGUAGCCCAGGAAUAAGUCCCGGCUAACAGGGUGCCAGCAGCCGCGGUAAUACCUUGGGGACGAGCGUUAUCCGGAAUCAUUGGGCGUAAAGCGCAUGUAGGCGGUGUGGCAAGUUGGUUGUGAAAGCUCACGGCUUAACUGUGAGAGGCCGGCCAAAACUGCCAGACUUGAGCGGGGUAGAGGAGAGCGGAAUUCCCGGUGUAGUGGUGGAAUGCGUAGAGAUCGGGAGGAACGCCAGUGGCGAAAGCGGCUCUCUGGACCUUAGCUGACGCUGAGAUGCGAAAGCGUGGGGAGCGAACGGG
rnacentral:rRNA from 1 species